UGGCAACGCAAGGGCGAGGCACGGCCAGGUUACUGCGCAAUACCAGCGGCAUUUCUCUCGGUAUCCCACUCUUCCAGAAUGGCUUUCUGCAGCCAAUAUCUGCUAGAGCCGGAAGAAAUUCCAUACUGAAAUGAAAUGGUAGUUGCCUCGUGGACCCUGUGUCUCAUCUGCAUCCCUCCAACUACCUGCUUACCUGUAUCAUUGUGAUGCACAAGAAAUAAAGAAAUGUUGAUACGGCACAUCUGGUGUCAUCUGCAAUUCUCAGUUCUCCCAGGGGUGGUGGGUGAACACUAACAUCUAUGGUGUCUGCAAUGCAGACACUGAACAUAAGAGGAGAAGAUCCUACACGCCUGUGUCUUUCUAGAGUCUAAAAAGCAGCAGAAGCAUGGAAGGAAUGAAAAAGCAGCUGUGAGCUGUUUAAACUGUGCAUAAA